rnacentral:rRNA from 1 species
GAUGAACGCUGGCGGCGUGCCUAAUACAUGCAAGUCGAGCGAAUGGAUUAAGAGCUUGCUCUUAUGAAGUUAGCGGCGGACGGGUGAGUAACACGUGGGUAACCUGCCCAUAAGACUGGGAUAACUCCGGGAAACCGGGGCUAAUACCGGAUAACAUUUUGAACCGCAUGGUUCGAAAUUGAAAGGCGGCUUCGGCUGUCACUUAUGGAUGGACCCGCGUAGCAUUAGCUAGUUGGUGAGGUAACGGCUCACCAAGGCAACGAUGCGUAGCCGACCUGAGAGGGUGAUCGGCCACACUGGGACUGAGACACGGCCCAGACUCCUACGGGAGGCAGCAGUAGGGAAUCUUCCGCAAUGGACGAAAGUCUGACGGAGCAACGCCGCGUGAGUGAUGAAGGCUUUCGGGUCGUAAAGCUCUGUUGUUAGGGAAGAACAAGUGCUAGUUGAAUAAGCUGGCACCUUGACGGUACCUAACCAGAAAGCCACGGCUAACUACGUGCCAGCCGCCGCGGUAA